CCUCAUCCUGGAUCCAUGAUCAUCACCAGCUAUUCUAUGAUUAUGCCUUACUGUUUAUGUUUAUGCAUAGCGAGUAGAUAAUUAUUUGCAUGAGAUGUAGAUAAUUAAAUGAAAGAGACCUAAAUUAAAUCUCCUCGAAAAUAUUAAGUCUAGCGGUCUUCCACCGUAGUAGAGCUGCUAAGGUCUUUCCGGCGUUGAUUUGUCUCGGCUGGAUACAGUGGGCAAGUUGCAUCGGGGGACUAGACCUCUCUAUUAGGCAUGAGAUGUUGUAGGGGUAAAGAUAGGAUUGGGCCCAAUAACUGUUAGGUGAGGGACCCAAUGACGGCUUUGCUUCUGCGGUUAUACGGUGGGUCCGACUUAACUAAAGAAUGAGGCCAAUAACUGUUAGAUGAGGUCUUCAUUACUUAGAGACCUGAUAGCACUACAACUUGCUUGAGAAGCAUUGUACAAGAGUUGUACACUCAUCGUUUAUAUAUCACCAAUAACUGUUA
rnacentral:lncRNA from 1 species